rnacentral:rRNA from 1 species
GACGAACGCUGGCGGCGCGCCUAACACAUGCAAGUCGAACGGAGCUGAGAGAAGCUUGCUUUUCUUAGCUUAGUGGCGAACGGGUGAGUAACGCGUGAGUAACCUGCCCUGGAGUGGGGGACACCAGUUGGAAACGACUGCUAAUACCGCAUAAGCCCACGAUCCGGCAUCGGAUUGAGGGAAAAGGAUUUAUUCUCUUCAGGAUGGACUGGCGUCCAAUUAGCUAGUUGGUGAGGUAACGGCCCACCAAGGCGACGAUUGGUAGCCGGACUGAGAGGUUGAACGGACACAUUGGGACUGAGACACGGCCCAGACUCCUACGGGAGGCAGCAGUGGGGGAUAUUGCACAAUGGGGGAAACCCUGAUGCAGCGACGACGCGUGGAGGAAGAAGGUUUUCGGAUUGUAAAGUCAUGUCGUUAGGGACGAUAAUGACGGUACCUAACAAGAAAGCACCGGCUAACUACGUG